CGAAAGCCUGACGGAGCAACGCCGCGUGGGGGAAGAAGGUUCUUGGAUUGUAAACCCCUUUUCUCAGGGAAGAAGUUCUGACGGUACCUGAGGAAUCAGCCUCGGCUAACUCCGUGCCAGCAGCCGCGGUAAUACGGAGGAGGCAAGCGUUAUUCGGAAUUAUUGGGCGUAAAGCGUCCGCAGGGGGCUCAUCAAGUCUGCUGUCAAAGCCCGGGGCUCAACCCCGACGCGGCAGUGGAAACUGGGAGGCUAGAGUACGGCAGGGGUAGAGGGAAUUCCCAGUGUAGCGGUGAAAUGCGUAGAGAUUGGGAAGAACACCGGUGGCGAAAGCGCUCUACUGGGUCGCGCCUGACCCUCAGGGACGAAAGCUAAGGUAGCG
rnacentral:rRNA from 1 species